rnacentral:rRNA from 1 species
UACGUAGGGUGCGAGCGUUAAUCGGAAUUACUGGGCGUAAAGUGUGCGCAGGCGGCCGCGCAAGUCGAGUGUGAAAUCCCCGAGCUUAACUUGGGAAUUGCGCUCGAAACUACGUGGCUGGAGUGUGGCAGAGGAAGGUGGAAUUCCACGUGUAGCGGUGAAAUGCGUAGAGAUGUGGAGGAACACCGAUGGCGAAGGCAGCCUUCUGGGCCAACACUGACGCUCAGUGCACGAAAGCGUGGGGAGCAAACAGG